CAGCAGCCGCGGUAAUACGUAGGGUGCAAGCGUUAAUCGGAAUUACUGGGCGUAAAGCGUGCGCAGGCGGUUAUAUAAGACAGAUGUGAAAUCCCCGGGCUCAACCUGGGAACUGCAUUUGUGACUGUAUAGCUAGAGUACGGCAGAGGGGGAUGGAAUUCCGCGUGUAGCAGUGAAAUGCGUAGAUAUGCGGAGGAACACCGAUGGCGAAGGCAAUCCCCUGGGCCUGUACUGACGCUGAGGUACGAAAGCAUGGGGAGCAAACAGGAUUAGAUACCCCGGUAGUCCCUGUCUCUUAUAC
rnacentral:rRNA from 1 species